rnacentral:tRNA from 1 species
GCCGCCAUGGCGCAGUGGUAACGCGUGAGUUUUGAAAUCUCACUUGCAAUGCGAAGAUCCCUAGUUCAAUUCUGGGUGGCGGCA